GCCCCUGUAGUGCCAUGAAUAGCGCUUUGGGCUUCUAACUCAAAGAUCGUGGGUUUGAAUCCCACUUGGGAUG